rnacentral:tRNA from 11 species
CACAAGGCCGAGUGGAUAACGCGAUGGCGUUUGAAGCCAACGGUACUGGGUUCGAGUCCCAGAGUGAA